AUUUAAGUAGUUUAUUAAAAAUAUUAAUUUGUGGAAUUAAAGAAAUAAUAAUUUUAUCUUAAAUA
rnacentral:tRNA from 1 species